rnacentral:rRNA from 1 species
CAGUCGCCGCGGGAAUACGGAGGGUGCAAGCGUUAUCCGGAUUUAUUGGGUUUAAAGGGUCCGUAGGCGGACUUAUAAGUCAGUGGUGAAAGCCUGUCGCUUAACGAUAGAACUGCCAUUGAUACUGUAAGUCUUGAGUAUAUUUGAGGUAGCUGGAAUAAGUAGUGUAGCGGUGAAAUGCAUAGAUAUUACUUAGAACACCAAUUGCGAAGGCAGGUUACCAAGAUAUAACUGACGCUGAGGGACGAAAGCGUGGGUAGCGAACAGGAUUAGAUACCCGCGUAGUCCCUGUCUCUUAUAC